rnacentral:rRNA from 1 species
UACGUAGGGGCGAGCGUUAUCCGGAAUUAUUGGGCGUAAAGGGUUCGCAGGCGGCCUUGUAAGUCAGAUGUGAAAGACAGCGGCUUAACCGUUGUAAGCAUUUGAAACUGCAGGGCUUGAGUACAGGAGAGGAAAGCGGAAUUCCUAGUGUAGCGGUGAAAUGCGUAGAUAUUAGGAGGAACACCAGUGGCGAAGGCGGCUUUCUGGACUGAUACUGACGCUGAGGAACAAAAGCGUGGGGAGCAAACAGGAUUAGAUACCCGUGUAGUCCCU